CCUACGGGAGGCAGCAGUGAGGAAUAUUGGUCAAUGGACGAGAGUCUGAACCAGCCAAGUAGCGUGAAGGAUGACUGCCCUAUGGGUUGUAAACUUCUUUUAUAUAGGAAUAAAAUGUUCCACGUGUGGGAUUUUGUAUGUACCAUAUGAAUAAGGAUCGGCUAACUCCGUGCCAGCAGCCGCGGUAAUACGGAGGAUCCGAGCGUUAUCCGGAUUUAUUGGGUUUAAAGGGAGCGUAGGUGGAUUGUUAAGUCAGUUGUGAAAGUUUGCGGCUCAACCGUAAAAUUGCAGUUGAAACUGGCAGUCUUGAGUACAGUAGAGGUGGGCGGAAUUCGUGGUGUAGCGGUGAAAUGCUUAGAUAUCACGAAGAACUCCGAUUGCGAAGGCAGUUCACUGGACUGCAACUGACACUGAGGCUCGAAAGUGUGGGUAUCAAACAGGAUUAGAUACCCCUGUAGUC
rnacentral:rRNA from 1 species